UACGUAGGGUGCAAGCGUUGUCCGGAAUUAUUGGGCGUAAAGAGCUCGUAGGCGGUCUGUCGCGUCGGCUGUGAAAACUUGGGGCUCAACCCCAAGCCUGCAGUCGAUACGGGCAGACUAGAGUGCGGGAGGGGAGACUGGAAUUCCUGGUGUAGCGGUGAAAUGCGCAGAUAUCAGGAGGAACACCAAUGGCGAAGGCAGAUCUCUGGGCCGUAACUGACGCUGAGGAGCGAAAGCAUGGGGAGCGAACAGG
rnacentral:rRNA from 1 species